rnacentral:rRNA from 1 species
GACGAACGCUGGCGGCGUGCUUAACACAUGCAAGUGGAGCGACGAACCAGGCUUCGGCCUGGGGCAGAGCCGCGAACGGGUGAGUAACACGUGGGUAACGUGCCCCGAUGACCGGGACAACCCGGGGAAACCCGGGCUAAUACCGGAUGUGCCCUCCUCACACCAGUGAGACGGGGAAAGGAAGCUUCGGCCUCCGCAUCGGGAUCGGCCCGCGGCCCAUUAGCUUGUUGGUGAGGUAAGAGCUCCCCAAGGCUGCGAUGGGUAGCUGGGCUGCGAGGACGGUCAGCCACACUUGGACUGAGACACGGCCCAGACUCCUGCGGGAGGCAGCAGUGGGGAAUCUUGCGCAAUGCGCGACAGCGUGACGCAGCAACGCCGCGUGGGGGAAGAAGGCCUUCGGGUUGUAAACCCCUUUCAGGAGGGACGAAGCCCGGGCCGUUAAUAGCGGUCCCGGGUGACGGUACCUCCACAAGAAGCCCCGGCUAACUACGUGCCAGCCGCCGCUGUAAGAC